AGAUAAUAGAUACCCGGGUAGUCCACGCCCUAAACGAUGUCAACUGGCUUUACGGAGUAUCGACCCUCUGUGAGGCGAAAGCUAAACGCGUUAAGUUGACCGCCUGGGUAGUACGACCGCAAGGUUAAAACUCAAAGGAAUAGACGGGGGCGUUGCACAAGCGGUGGAGCGUGUGGCUUAAUUACGUCGCUAAGCGAAGAACCUUACCAGGGCGUAGAAAUACCUACUGCACGUCUAGCGAAAGCUAGAAAGCCUUCGAGGGUGUAGGACAGGUGAUGCAUGGCUGUCGUCAGUUCGUGGUUUGAAUCGUUCCCUUCAGUGGGGUAACGAACGCAACCCUCGUUGCCAGUUACAAGUGUCUGGCGAGACUGCCCCCUCACGGGGGAGGAAGGUGAGGAUGACGCCAAGUCAGCAUGUCCCUCUGAUGUCCUGGGCUGCACACGCGCUACAAUCGCCUUUACAAAGGGACGCAAUGCGGUAACGCGGAGCAAAUCCUU
rnacentral:rRNA from 1 species